rnacentral:rRNA from 1 species
AGGUGACUAAAUUUCAGAAAAGGGAAAUUCAAUUUUACUUAUAGUCUUUUGUUAGACUAGGUAUUAUGCACUUUUCCCUUAGUAUGACAUUGCGAUCCAUUAGAAUACAUCUAAUGCAUAUAAAAUGCUUGAGAUAUAAUUGUUUGUCAAUUGGGUUCUGUAUGGAGUUUACACAUUUUAAUACAAGUACAAUAUUUUCUAAGGUGUUAUAUUGGAAAGUAGUGUAAACAUACUUGGAUACCUUGUACAAAUAUCUGAUGGUUGUAUAUGAUCACAUUUUGACAGUAUUCAUUUGCUGUUUGUAUAAUAAUUUUAUACAGAUACAUUUGAAAUGUUUGACAUGAUCAGCAAUGAUAAUAUGUUUAGUAAGCCUCCGGACCCGUCUUGAAACACGGACCAAGAAGUUUAACUUAUGCACAAGUCAAUGAGUUAUAUAAAAAUAUAUAAACUUAUGGGCGUUAUUAACGUAACCUAUUAUAUGGAAAUACGAUGUUCAUAUAUGAAUAUCCUUCAUUCCCAGGUAUCUGUUAAUCUAAGAUUAUAUUAAAUCAUUUAUGGUAUAAUAUGCUUAGUAUGAUAUACUGUGAGUGCAUAAGAUAUGACCCGAAAGAUGGUGAACUAUGCCUGAUCAGGUUGAAGUCAGGGGAAACCCUGAUGGAGGACCGAAUCAGUUCUGACGUGCAAAUCG